rnacentral:rRNA from 1 species
CAGCCGCCGCGGUAAUACGAAGGGUGCAAGCGUUAAUCGGAAUUACUGGGCGUAAAGCGUGCGUAGGCGGUUUGUUAAGUCUGUUGUGAAAUCCCCGGGCUCAACCUGGGAAUGGCAAUGGAUACUGGCAAGCUAGAGUGUGUCAGAGGAUGGUGGAAUUCCCGGUGUAGCGGUGAAAUGCGUAGAGAUCGGGAGGAACAUCAGUGGCGAAGGCGGCCAUCUGGGACAACACUGACGCUGAGGCACGAAAGCGUGGGGGGUAAACAGGAUUAGAUACCCCCGUAGUCCCUGUCUCUUAUAC